UACAUACCUUCUGGAAGUGGCAAAACUUCAAUGGCAGCUACAAUUGGUAUAGAGAGUGAUUUCCCAUAUGUCAAGAUUAUAUCUGCAGAAAGCAUGAUUGGUCUCGGUGAAGCAAGUAAAUGUGCACAAAUUGUCAAGGUGAGUUGAAUGCUAGAACAAUUUUAGUAAAAGUUCUCAAUUUAUUAAAU